CACAGGGAAGGUACUCAGAAUGUGUCAGUAGGUAGAGGGGAAAGGAAGACCACCAUGCCUAAGUCCCAGGUUCUCUCUAAGGAUAGCCUGAGAGCCCCAAAUUCAUUAACCAGAGGAUGGGACCCAAGCCAGAAUUCUAUGGAAUUUUCCUGGAAAGCAGGCUACCUGAAGCCAUCAGAACCUGAAGAGGGAGCUCAGGAAAUUUAAAUUUCCCAGCAACAGAUAACAGAAUAUAAAGGCCACAAGGUCAACUGUUUUGUUCACAGCCAUACUCACAACACACAGAGCAGCAUGGGAUGGGUGAGGAAAUGGACAGAUGGAUAAAUAAGCUUAUGGAUCACAGGGCAUUUUGGAGGAAGACUCAGGAAAGGUAAGAAGGGGAAAACAGACUGACGAGAACCAGACAGAGGCCAAGCUACUCACAGACCCCUCCCCAUCCCUGAUGGGCCAUGCCUUUUGGAGGAGCUCUAAGGACAAUGCAGGUCCACCUCCAGCUGAGUCCCUGGGGAACUCAUGUGAGCUCCUGAGUACUGUGGUCACAUCUCAGAGCCCAAGAGCUGGCAUGAUAAACUCUUGUCAGAGGCCACUCCUUGCCACUGAGAAAUCAUGACUGUGAAGGGACUCUCAGCCAUGUGUCCACACUCCACACAUGAGAAGUGAGCACACUGGUCAGAGCAAGUGCUGCUGACCCUGUGGGCAGUUAGCUCCGAGGGAACAGGGUCACAGCUGUAGACCAACCAUACCCACUCAUGACCCAGGCAGGAGUGCUGAAAUCCAGGCUUCUAGAUCAUGAGGAACCAGGGGAAAGGAUCAUCAGGAAGACCACUCAGCACAAACCACAUGCCCUAGUGACUGUGGGCCAGCUAGGCCCAGUUCUGUGGGAAACAAUGGCAUAUGCUCAGAUGCUGUCAAUACCCCUUGGCCAUACGCACCACCCGACCCAGCCACGGAGAGCAAAGCUCUAGUGAGGUAAUGUCAUGGGAACUCUCUGAGCUUUGGGACUAGAUGGAUCUGUGUCCAGACCGCUUCUGGAGCAGGUGACUCCGAACUGCUGGGUGACCUAGAAUGACCACCAGAAUCUCAGUUUCCCCAACCAUAAAAUGGAGAUGAUAAUGCACACUUCCCCCGGCUAUAAGACAGAGAUUAAAGGUUAAAACUGCAAACCACAUGGCACAAUGUCUGAAACAGAAAUGUUCAAAGGAGUUGAGGCACUAUUAUGAUUUAUCAACAUAAUUAUUAUAAAUGCUGUUCUUCAACUCACUGCCUGACCUAGUUCUACUCAUCCCUGCGCUCUUGCGAGUUCCUCAAAAAAGUUUCUUCUAGUGCUGGCUGCCCCUGUCCUGCAGGCUAAAUUGAAGCUCCCCUGCUCAUCGAUAAUACAAUCUCAGCACCACUGGCCUCUUCCUGCCUAGCGCUCAUCCCAGUUUGAAAGCAAAUGUUUCCUUGAGUGACAAUUUGCCGCCUGAUUCUCCUAUUUGACCAUGAACCCACAGGGAGCAGAGACUGGGUCUGUUUUUCUCACUACGGUGUACCCAGGACAAUGCCUGACCAGCAGCAGGCCUCAAUAAAUACUUGAUAACCAA